rnacentral:rRNA from 1 species
UACGUAGGGUGCGAGCGUUGCCCGGAUUUAUUGGGCGUAAAGGGCGCGCAGGCGGUACGGCACGUCCGUUGUGAAAUCGCUCGGCUCAACUGGGCGGGGUCAGCGGAUACGGCCGCACUUGAGCAAGCUAGGGGGCAAUGGAAUUCCCGGUGUAGUGGUGGAAUGCGUAGAUAUCGGGAGGAACACCAGUGGCGAAGGCGGUUACCUGGAGCUUUGCUGACGCUGAUGCGCGAAAGCGUGGGGAGCGAGUCCGG